GGGUUGUGAGGUUAAGCGACUAAGCGUACACGGUGGAUGCCCUGGCAGUCAGAGGCGAUGAAGGGCGUACUAAUCUGCGAUAAGCGCCGGUAAGGUGAUAUGAACCGUUAUAACCGGCGAUACCCGAAUGGGGAAACCCAGUGUGAUUCGUCACACUAUCAUUAACUGAAUCCAUAGGUUAAUGAGGCGAACCGGGGGAACUGAAACAUCUAAGUACCCCGAGGAAAAGAAAUCAACCGAGAUUCCCCCAGUAGCGGCGAGCGAACGGGGAGGAGCCCAGAGCCUGAAUCAGCAUGUGUGUUAGUGGAAGCGUCUGGAAAGGCGCGCGAUACAGGGUGACAGCCCCGUACACAAAAGCGCAUGUGCUGUGAGCUCGAUGAGUAGGGCGGGACACGUGGUAUCCUGUCUGAAUAUGGGGGGACCAUCCUCCAAGGCUAAAUACUCCUGACUGACCGAUAGUGAACCAGUACCGUGAGGGAAAGGCGAAAAGAACCCCGGCGAGGGGAGUGAAAAAGAACCUGAAACCGUGUACGUACAAGCAGUGGGAGCCCCACCACCAAAGCAUUUGCUGUACCGCGUUGACGGAGCGAAGCGACGUCAAACCGAUAAAACAGCAGUGUAAAGUGAGCCGCAGGGCGCUUUGCGCGACAGCGCAAAGGCAGGCGGUUUCGCGUAGCGAAAGCGAAUGCUUUGGGGUGGGGUGACUGCGUACCUUUUGUAUAAUGGGUCAGCGACUUAUAUUCUGUAGCAAGGUUAACCGAAUAGGGGAGCCGGAGGGAAACCGAGUCUUAAUUGGGCGUUAAGUUGCAGGGUAUAGACCCGAAACCCGGUGAUCUAGCCAUGGGCAGGUUGAAGGUUGGGUAACACUAACUGGAGGACCGAACCGACUAAUGUUGAAAAAUUAGCGGAUGACCUGUGGCUGGGGGUGAAAGGCCAAUCAAACCGGGAGAUAGCUGGUUCUCCCCGAAAGCUAUUUAGGUAGCGCCUCGUGAAUUCAUCUCCGGGGGUAGAGCACUGUUUCGGCUAGGGGGCCAUCCCGGCUUACCAACCCGAUGCAAACUGCGAAUACCGGAGAAUGUUAUCACGGGAGACACACGGCGGGUGCUAACGUCCGUCGUGAAGAGGGAAACAACCCAGACCGCCAGCUAAGGUCCCAAAGUCAUGGUUAAGUGGGAAACGAUGUGGGAAGGCCCAGACAGCCAGGAUGUUGGCUUAGAAGCAGCCAUCAUUUAAAGAAAGCGUAAUAGCUCACUGGUCGAGUCGGCCUGCGCGGAAGAUGUAACGGGGCUAAACCAUGCACCGAAGCUGCGGCAGCGACGCUUAUGCGUUGUUGGGUAGGGGAGCGUUCUGUAAGCCUGCGAAGGUGGCCUGUGAGGGUUGCUGGAGGUAUCAGAAGUGCGAAUGCUGACAUAAGUAACG
rnacentral:rRNA from 1 species